rnacentral:rRNA from 1 species
CAUUGCGUACUAUCAUAUACAUGCAGUCGAGCGGACAGAAGGGAGCUUGCUCCCGGAUGUUAGCGGCGGACGGGUGAGUAACACGUGGGUAACCUGCCUGUAAGACUGGGAUAACUCCGGGAAACCGGAGCUAAUACCGGAUAGUUCCUUGAACCGCAUGGUUCAAGGAUGAAAGACGGUUUCGGCUGUCACUUACAGAUGGACCCGCGGCGCAUUAGCUAGUUGGUGGGGUAAUGGCUCACCAAGGCGACGAUGCGUAGCCGACCUGAGAGGGUGAUCGGCCACACUGGGACUGAGACACGGCCCAGACUCCUACGGGAGGCAGCAGUAGGGAAUCUUCCGCAAUGGACGAAAGUCUGACGGAGCAACGCCGCGUGAGUGAUGAAGGUUUUCGGAUCGUAAAGCUCUGUUGUUAGGGAAGAACAAGUGCGAGAGUAACUGCUCGCACCUUGACGGUACCUAACCAGAAAGCCACGGCUAACUACGUGCCAGCAGCCGCGGUAAUACGUAGGUGGCAAGCGUUGUCCGGAAUUAUUGGGCGUAAAGGGCUCGCAGGCGGUUUCUUAAGUCUGAUGUGAAAGCCCCCGGCUCAACCGGGGAGGGUCAUUGGAAACUGGGAAACUUGAGUGCAGAAGAGGAGAGUGGAAUUCCACGUGUAGCGGUGAAAUGCGUAGAGAUGUGGAGGAACACCAGUGGCGAAGGCGACUCUCUGGUCUGUAACUGACGCUGAGGAGCGAAAGCGUGGGGAGCGAACAGGAUUAGAUACCCUGGUAGUCCACGCCGUAAACGAUGAGUGCUAAGUGUUAGGGGUUUCCGCCCCUUAGUGCUGCAGCUAACGCAUUAAGCACUCCGCCUGGGGAGUACGGUCGCAAGACUGAAACUCAAAGGAAUUUGACGGGGCCCGCACAAGCGGUGGAGCAUGUGGAUUUAAUUCGAAGCAACGCGAAGAACCUUUACCAGGUGUUGACAUCCUCUGACAACCUAGAGAUAGGGCUUUCCCUUCGGGGAACAGGAGUGAACAGGUGGUGCAUGGUUGUCGUCAUGCUCGUGUCGUGAGAUGUGGUUAAGUCCCCGCACCGAGCGCAACCCUUGAUCGUAAGUGGCAGCCAUCCAGUGGCACUCUAAGUGACUGACGUUGACAACCGGAAGGGAAG